AGUGAACGCUGGCGGUAGGCCUAACACAUGCAAGUCGAACGGCAGCACAGUAAGAGCUUGCCUUUACGGGUGGCGAGUGGCGGACGGGUGAGGAAUACAUCGGAAUCUACUUUUUCGUGGGGGAUAACGUAGGGAAACUUACGCUAAUACCGCAUACGACCUACGGGUGAAAGCAGGGGAUCUUCGGACUUUGCGCGAUUGAAUGAGCCGAUGUCGGAUUAGCUAGUUGGCGGGGUAAAGGCCCACCAAGGCGACGAUCCGUAGCUGGUCUGAGAGGAUGAUCAGCCACACUGGGACUGAGACACGGUCCAGACUCCUACUGGAGGCAGCAGUGUGGAAUAUUGGACAGUGGGCGCAAGCCUGAUCCAGCCAUACCGCGUGGGUGAAGAAGGCCUUCGGGUUGUAAAGCCCUUUUGUUUGGAAAGAAAAGCAGCAGGUUAAUACCCCGCUGUUCUGACGGUACCCAAAGAAUAAGCACCGGCUAACUUCGUG
rnacentral:rRNA from 1 species